CGCUGGCGGCAUGCUUUACACAUGCAAGUCGAACGGUAACAGGUCUUCGGAUGCUGACGAGUGGCGAACGGGUGAGUAAUACAUCGGAACGUGCCUAGUAGUGGGGGAUAACUACUCGAAAGAGUAGCUAAUACCGCAUGAGACCUACGGAUGAAAGCAGGGGACCUUCGGGCCUUGUGCUACUAGAGCGGCUGAUGGCAGAUUAGGUAGUUGGUGGGGUAAAGGCUUACCAAGCCUGCGAUCUGUAGCUGGUCUGAGAGGACGACCAGCCACACUGGGACUGAGACGCGGCCCAGACUCCUACGGGAGGCAGCAGUGGGGAAUUCUGGACAAUGGGCGAAAGCCUGAUCCAGCAAUGCCGCGUGCAGGAUGAAGGCCCUCGGGUUGUAAACUGCUUUUGUACGGAACGAAAAGCCUGGGGCUAAUACCCCCGGGUCAUGACGGUACCGUAAGAAUAAGCACCGGCUAACUACGUGCCAGCAGCCGCGGUAAUACGUAGGGUGCAAGCGUUAAUCGGAAUUACUGGGCGUAAAGCGUGCGCAGGCGGUUUUGUAAGACAGUGGUGAAAUCCCCGGGCUCAACCUGGGAACUGCCAUUGUGACUGCAAGGCUAGAGUGCGGCAGAGGGGGAUGGAAUUCCGCGUGUAGCAGUGAAAUGCGUAGAUAUGCGGAGGAACACCGAUGGCGAAGGCAAUCCCCUGGGCCUGCACUGACGCUCAUGCACGA
rnacentral:rRNA from 1 species